rnacentral:lncRNA from 12 species
UUGGGAUUGCUGCUUUGUGGGAAUCUUGCAGAGUUAGGGGUAGAAAUUAAGCAAAAUGUUGCCACUCCAGAGGAAGGGACAGAAGAUGGAUCAGGUGACAGCAAAACUUUUCCUUCCCUGCGGCUCUGUCUCUCGCAGGGAGGGUGGGGUGAAGGUUGUCUUUCUGGGGCCUGAAGAGUUGUUGUUGUUGUUGCAGAGAGCCGGGCCUGUGUCCUGCUGUCCCUGAGCCAGCAGGAUGGCAUUGAGCAGCACAUGGACUUUGACAGUCGCUGCACCUUGCUGGAGCUGUUUGCUGAGAUCACGUCCUCUGCAGAGCACUGCAUGUCCUUCGAGGGGAUUCACCUCCCGCAGAUCCCUGGGAAGCAGCUGUUCGUCCUGGUGAAGCGCUACCUGUGCGUGACUUCUCUCCUGGACAAGCUGAGCAGUGGCUUGGAGCAGGGAGAGGCUGUGCCCAGCCCUGUCCCUGAGGAGAGGAGCCGUGUGAAGCAGGAGUUUGAGUUCAGCAUGGCCAUGGCAAACCUCAUCUCGGAGCUGGUGCACGCGAUGGGCUGGAGCCGCAGCCACAAGGCAGAGCUGCUGGCCCAGCGGGACCUGCAGCCUUGCCCUGCCCGCUCCAUCUUCCAGCACAAG